rnacentral:rRNA from 1 species
AACUAACGCUGGCGGCGUGCCUAACACAUGCAAGUCGAACGAGAAAGUUGGCUUCGGCCGAUGAGUAAAGUGGCGCACGGGUGAGUAACGCGUGGAUAAUCUGCCCUUUAGUUUGGAAUAACGUACCGAAAGGUGCGCUAAUACCGGAUAAUACUGAAUGACUACUGUCGUUUAGUCAAAGAAGGCUUCUGUUUACAUGCUUUUGCUGAAGGAUGAGUCCGCGUACCAUUAGCUAGUUGGUAGGGUAAUGGCCUACCAAGGCGACGAUGGUUAGCUGGUCUGAGAGGAUGAUCAGCCACACUGGAACUGAGACACGGUCCAGACUCCUACGGGAGGCAGCAGUGAGGAAUAUUGCGCAAUGGGGGCAACCCUGACGCAGCAACGCCGCGUGAGUGAGGAAGGUUUUCGGACCGUAAAGCUCUGUCGAGCGGGAAGAAAUGCAUGGUGGCUAAUAUCCAUCAUGCUUGACGGUACGCUAAGG